AUUUUGUGCUCCUGGCCCUGAAGAUCUAGGCAGCUUCAACUUCCUCUCUUUUGGUAUACCUCCUUGCCUGUCUAGCAGCCAUGGAAAGAGCCAUGAAGAGACAUGAAGUCUCCCCAGCCCAAAGCCUGUGCUGAGCUCCCAGUUACAGCCAGUGCCAACUGUAUGCCAACAAGCCGUGUGUGUCAACCUUGAAAAUGGGCUCCUCCUCCUCCACUCUACCUGCCUGAAAGGAUGCCUUAUAUAGCAAAAAAGGCCUGUCCCUCCUUAACCCUAUACGGAUUGCAGAUUUAUCAGGGAGGAUGGCCAUGGAACAGUGAGAAUGAUGGGAAACUACCACACCCACAGCCACAUCAGGAAAACCCACCUGCAGAACCAGAAGAGCCACAGGUCACAUCCAAGUUGGCUGUGCCUCCAACUGUCUGUAUCAGAUGGAUAAUGGGGAUGACUCCUCCCUGUGCCUGGAUCAUAGAGGCUGGCACAGGCCAUGGGGAAGCUGCUGCUUCUCUUCAAGAACUUUAGUUCAUGAUUUUCACCUUUUGGAGCUGACAUUCUAACAAAUCACAUAGACAUCUGCACUGGUUUGUAUGUUGCAUACCCCUGACACUGAACGCUCUAUAACAUGGUGAUUUUCAACUUUACCAGGUCAUUCACAGUGGGAAAUUAUUUUUGACUUUUCAGUAAUUGCCCUUUUUUUUUUUUUUGCUGAGAAAGAUAUGCCCUGAGCUAACAUCUGUUGCCAAUCUUCCUCUUUUUGCUUGAGAAAGAUUUGACUUGAGCUAACAUCCCUGCCAAUCUUCCUCUAUUUUGUGGGUUGCCACCACAGCAUGUCCACUGAUGAGUAGUGUCGGUUUGCCCCGGGGAACUGAACCCAGGCUGCCAAAAGGGAGCACGCUGAACUGUACCACUAGGCCAUGGGGCUGGC
rnacentral:lncRNA from 1 species